rnacentral:rRNA from 1 species
GACGAACGCUGGCGGCGUGCCUAAUACAUGCAAGUCGAACGCUUCUUUCCUCCCGAGUGCUUGCACUCAAUUGGAAAGAGGAGUGGCGGACGGGUGAGUAACACGUGGGUAACCUACCCAUCAGAGGGGGAUAACACCUGGAAACAGGUGCUAAUACCGCAUAACAGUUUAUGCCGCAUGGCAUAAGAGUGAAAGGCGCUUUCGGGUGUCGUUGAUGGAUGGACCCGCGGUGCAUUAGCUAGUUGGUGAGGUAACGGCUCACCAAGGCCACGAUGCAUAGCCGACCUGAGAGGGUGAUCGGCCACACUGGGACUGAGACACGGCCCAGACUCCUACGGGAGGCAGCAGUAGGGAAUCUUCGGCAAAGGACGAAAGUCUGACCGAGCAACGCCGCGUGAGUGAAGAAGGUUUUCGGAUCGUAAAACUCUGUUGUUAGAGAAGAACAAGGACGUUAGUAACUGAACGUCCCCUGACGGUAUCUAACCAGAAAGCCACGGCUAACUACGUG